UACGUAGGGUGCGAGCGUUGUCCGGAAUUAUUGGGCGUAAAGGGCUCGUAGGCGGUCUGUCGCGUCGGGAGUGAAAACUCAGGGCUUAACCCUGAGCCUGCUUCCGAUACGGGCAGACUAGAGGUAUGCAGGGGAGAACGGAAUUCCUGGUGUAGCGGUGGAAUGCGCAGAUAUCAGGAGGAACACCCGUGGCGAAGGCGGCACUCUGGGUCGGCCCUGACGCUGAGGCGCGAAAGCGUGGGGAGCGAACGGG
rnacentral:rRNA from 1 species